rnacentral:misc_RNA from 1 species
ACCCCCCCCCCUCCCCCCAAUCUUUGUUUUUUUUCGUUUUCCAUUACACACAAGUGCACAAAAAUUAAUAAUUCAGUCUUUAGGGUUCGACCUGGAUUUACCACUUACUGCAGAAAAUAUUUCAUAAUUGGUGAUUUCAGUUAAUUUAAUUUCUGGUGAAUUCGACACCUAUCAACUUGUCUGCUAAGCCCCUGGAACUUGAAUAUCUCUUAAAUGGCCACCUCUAAAACUAGAUGAAGGUGUGACCAUCUUCUCCUUCGUCAAUGAGGCAUGCAUAAUUUUAGCAUUGCAUUGUGCUUCCCUGAGUUGUCCACAUGAUGGAAAAUGGUUGGCUGUUAUGUUGCUGGAAGCCUUAUGAGUAUUUCUUUCGCCAGAAAUAUGUCUAGCAUCUGCCUUGCAAAUGAAUUGACUACAUCUUUCCUAAUUCUGUAGUUCAACUUUGUUUUGGUUACAGCAGAAGAAAAAGUAUGCUGGUUAAGGAAAACAAGUUCAAACUCAUCGUUAGAGAGUACCAUCAUACAAUGAUAAAGCAAACAAUCACAGAUAACAUAAAAUUGCAAAGGUAAGGUUAACAUGACAGGAGAGCUUUCCAAUGACAUUUUGCACAAAGCACAUAAUAUAUUAAUUACAACUACUUGGAACACAAUGUAAAUGUAUAUUCAAGAGCAUAAAAAUAAUAUUGUCUUUUCACUUUCCGAUCUCACCAAGAUUCAGAGGAAAAUGCCAAUUAUAAAUCUUCGAGGUGAAGAUCAUCAAAUUGGAACUUUAGAUGCAAAAUCACAUGAACUAUUUGAUAUCUAGAUUCAGGAUAAUGUAUAGAAAUGUUGACAACUAGAUUAUCAUCCAUUGAAGAGGAAAUUACAAGGGCCAGAACUUUUCAGAUAUAAAAGAGAUAUUUCAAAUAUGCAAGCUUUAUCAUUCUAAGGGUUGGUUAAAGAAAGGACAAUUUGGAAUAACAGUGUUUUUCUACCUUAGCCUUUCGAACAGCAGACUGUCUCUUCUGUUAGUUAGAGAAGAACUCAGCUUUGUUGCAGGUAGGCCAGUCUUUGUGGGAAGUUUCUGAUCUUUUGAUUGGAGUGCAAAUAGAAGUCUCUUCCAUCUCCUGUGCUUGCUUUAUCCUUGUUCCCAUCAGAGAAACUUUCUGAUUCUUUAGUGACUUGUUCGGUUCUAUAUGCAGUGCCUCCUUCAGAUGGGUUAAAGUUAGCAGUUGUGUAUCAUUGUCUUGGACCUGAAUUUUAUUGGCAUUGUCAGGCAUGUUUUCCUCACUCAAUGCAUCAGCCUCCAUAUUGUUUUCUUCUUUUGUUGCGUUGCACAGUCCUUCUUGAAAAGAACCAGUCUGAGUUUUUUCUUGCUGCUCUGCUUUCAAUGCCCUCAUAGCUCUGAUCUUGCUAUAAUAUUCUUCAAAGUAUGCCUUCUUCUUUGCAACUAAUCCAGGUUCCCUGAACUUCUCUAGCUCCUCAUGACAUCUGUUCUGAGUGAAAACAGAAAACUUCUCCCAUGCAAGUGUCUCAGUGGCAUAUCUUCCGAAAGAAAUUGAACCAUGAUCAAGGAUUUGAGAGGGAGAUGCCUGAGGGCCUUCACCAUCUGAUGUUAGCUCUGGGCGUGACCAAAUGCUGCUAGAGGCUUGACAAUGAUAAGAAUGAUCAGUUUCUAUGGCCAUACUAGUCUACCUUUCUCCACAGUUAACUUCUAUACAUAAAUCUACUCUUAAAAAAAAAAGACCUGCAAGGCUGCAACCAUAUGAUCAACAAAUUAAAAUGGCAAAAAGCAUCCAGUAAAGAUUAAAAAUUUGCAAAAGUCAGUGAACCCACAGUAGAAAUAAGAAUCAUAAAAACUUGUAAAAUAGAAAUAAAUCUAGAAAAUGGAGUAGAGAUAAUUUCUAGAAAAAAAAAUCAAUUAAUUAAUGGUUUUCACUUAGGGAUAGUCUCCAAAAAAUACCUGUAGUAAAUGUAAGUCCUAAAUUCGUAACAGUAAGCUAACUCUUGCCUUUAAAUAGCUGGUGGAACAGAAAGGAAUUCUACAGCAACAGAACAACUUCAUUCUCAGAAUUCCGAAACAAAAAAAAAAAAAAGGAUUAAACAAUUUGAACAAAUCUUCAUUCCAUUGUAAAUUAAAUCAUUUAUUACUUUAUUAGUUACUAAAAUCGAAAUUUUCAGUGCUUCUGUUUACAAUUACACAGAAUUCAUGCAAGCCAAUCAGUCUUCAAUUCCAUGGAACUUAUGAUAGGAUUAGAAAUAUUGUUACGGUGUUUCGGUCCCUUCGCAGUUGUGGAAAUUUUUAAUUUGUGCAUUUCUUUUCAGGAAAUAAACUGAUUAUUCAUCAAAAAAAAAAAAGGAAAAUUAAAGCUCCAUGCUGUUAGUACCAUGUCAAUCAACUGUUCCAAUUUCCAAAGCAUAUGAGAGAUUAUUUACUUUAACAUUUUCUAUGAAUAACCACAAAAAAUGCAUGAACUUUUCUCAAUUCUCAAACAACCCACAAAUAGAACUGGACUGAUCUUGUGCUAAUAUUCCAAACUAGUGAGUCACGACAGACUAGAAGCUCAUGCCUUUGAUGCUAAGAUGAGCCAAACACUAAAGUAAUAUCAUAAACACAUACAAAUUUCCAAACAAUUGCAAAAUACAAUCAAUAAAAAAGAAAUAGUAACUGUGGCACUUGAAUAACUCUGGAUUAUUUUACUGAUGUUUCGUAUCUGCAAAAGCAAAUAAUAAGAAAAAGAAUUUGAAAAAUCACAAAUGCAAGACAAAGGAAAAAGGAUUUCCCAAGCCAAAUGCAUUAUAAUCUUCACCAUCAUAAACCCCAAUUAAUUUGUCCUUCUAGUAUGUUUGGUCACCUAGAAAAACAGAGGAAGAGAAAGAAAGAAAGAAAGCAAAGAGAAGAAAAACAUUUUCCCCCUGAUUCCCAUGCUCACCAAUGGAGCGAAGAAUAGAGAAUGGUGAAUGCACUAUAUAUAAUGAUUGCGAUUAGUAUGAGUGAUUUGUUUAACAUUUGGUUAAUGGUGAAGAAGAGAUAGGUAUAGUCGCUCGGAGGAGGGAGGCAGGGAGGGUAAGAUGGUAGAGAGAACGAGGGAAAACCAAGCAAGACCAACUGCUUCUUCAACUCAUCAUAGGCUCAACCACAUCCCACAGCUGCCUCAGUGGCCACCCUUCUCCGCCACGAAGCGUCGUUAACCGCCGCUUCUGCUUCCCCUUCUCCUUCUCAAUCCCCUCCCGCCACCCUCCUCCGAGC